rnacentral:lncRNA from 1 species
CCACACCACACACUUCAAGCUUAAUACAACUCUCCACUUGCUACAACCAGAGAGAGAGAGAGAGACAGAGAGAGAGAAUCCAUGGUGACACAAGGAAAGAGCAUCAAAUUUAGCAGAAGAGGAAUGGUGUCCCUGAGAAGGAGGCGGCCGUUCCAGCUCAUGGUGCUGAGGCGCCUCCGGGAGCUCAAGAAGAUUGUGCCGGUGGGUGCUCGUCGCAAGGCUGACGUUGACGCAGUGCUCCGGCAAACCGCCGAGUACAUCUGCGCGCUAGAGCUGAAGGUGGCCAUCUUGCGGAGGCUCUCAGACAUCUACGGCGUGUAGAGCGAGCUCUGGUGAAGGCAGUCGAUCGUUUGCAUGCCAAUCACCACUGCACAUGUAAGAGGGAAGAGAGAACCUAGCUACAUUUCUUGCCAUGGCCAUCUCUGUUCAACUCCUCCCUACCACCCACCAAAGUAGUAGCAUAUUGUGCCACUGCCUCCCCUAUGUGAUUGGUUGGUCGCAUAUGGAAGUGUGUCUAUUAGUUAAAUCUGGCUGGAAAAGCCAGCCCUUUUAUCCAGCUGAUUGCAAGAAAAUGCUUUGAUUGGUGGUUGUCGAUAGGCUAGCUGGUCUGCAUGCAUGGUUCAUGUAUUUCAUUUGUUUGUAUGUGUCGGUGUGUGUACAAUGGAUUUUUGCAUAGCU